rnacentral:rRNA from 1 species
AUUGAACGCUGGCGGCAGGCCUAACACAUGCAAGUCGAGCGGAGCGGCGGACGGGUGAGUAAUGCCUAGGAAUCUGCCUGGUAGUGGGGGAUAACGUCCGGAAACGGGCGCUAAUACCGCAUACUAUCAGAUGAGCCUAGGUCGGAUUAGCUAGUUGGUGGGGUAAAGGCCUACCAAGGCGACGAUCCGUAACUGGUCUGAGAGGAUGAUCAGUCACACUGGAACUGAGAUACGGACCAGAAUCCUACGUGAGGCAGCAGUGGGGGAUAGUGCAGAAUGGGCGAAAGCCUGAUGCAGCGAAGCCGCGUGGGGGAUGAAGGCUUUCGGAUCGUAAAGCACGUUAAGUUGGGAGGCGUUACCAACAGAAUAAGCACCGGCUAACUUCGUGCCAGCAGCCGCGGUAAUUC